rnacentral:sRNA from 1 species
UCAACCAACACUACUAGACGCGCCGACCG